UUCCUGCUGAAUAGGGGCACUGUAGUCAGGGUUUGGGUUUUGAAGCAGUGUGUCUUCAGAGUUGUUUUGCUGGAGGCGCUGAUGUCAGACUUGGUGAAGAAGGAUGGUAUUAAUGUGUUUCUAGGUGGCUGUCUGGACAAGGGAGUUCAGUCUUUGGGAGAUAACGCAGGAUAUAAAGGCCUGGAAUCCAACUUGUGCCGGUUUUUCACGCCCUGGGGAGAUACAGAAAGUCUGCUGAAGUGCUCACUAAGCUCCCAAAAAGGCAAUGCCUCCACUGCGUAGUUGAAAACGUUAACAUUUGCAAUUAUCAGCUCAACUUUUAGGAUUGAGUAAAGUGAUCUAGUCUUGGAGAGAAAGGGUAAGAGGGCUACUUUUUGGCUUCCAGGAGUUACACAGUACUCUGGUAAUGGCAGGAGAUAUUAUUAAUCCUCUCGGUCAAACUUCCUUCUGUAUGCCUGGGAUCAUGCCCUUGUGAAGCCCAAUCCACAUUGUUGGGUUUUGUUUCCCUCCUCCUAUGAUCUAAGUUAUUAAAGCCCUAAAUUCAUUCCCUGGAGUUCUGUGGGGGGAAAAACAGUCCGUUUUUAUAAAAUGAAGGAGAAACAUAAUCUAUAUUCCCUGAACUCAGGAGCAAAGCAUCUUUUGUCUAAAAACCCUUUUCUUUCAAGAAUUGUAUGUAUUACCAGAGCAUGAGAUCAUAGCCCAGCUCCUAGUGAGUCAAAAGAAAUAUAUCUACACAAAUGGAAAUUCAAAUAAACUACUUCCAACAGGGUUUAAACUAUUUGUUUAGCUUCUAAAAUAUUAACAAAAUAUUCUGAAAUAUUAUGACUUUUUUACGUGUUGCUUUUCUAUAAUAAAAGUGUUAUGGGCUGAAUCAUGUUCCCUCAAAAUUCAUAUGUUGAAGUCCUAAUCCUCAGUACCUCAGAAUGUGAUCCUAUCUUUACAAAGAUCCUAAAGUUGAAAUAAGGUAAUUAGGGUGGGACCUUAUCCCAUAUGACUGGUAUCCUUCAGAGAAGAGAUUUGGAUACACACACACACUCAGAGGGAGGACCACAGGAAAACACAUGAAGAUAACCACCUACAUGCCAAGAAAAGAGGUCUCAGAAGAAACCGACCGAGCUAACUCCUUGAUCUCAGACUUCUAGCUUCCAGCAUUGUGAGAAUAUACAUUUCUGUUAUUUAAACCACCUAAUCUGUAGUACUUUGUAUGGCAUCUCUAAUAAACUAAUACAAAAAGUGA